rnacentral:rRNA from 1 species
CGAGCGAAUGGAUUAAGAGCUUGCUCUUAUGAAGUUAGCGGCGGACGGGUGAGUAACACGUGGGUAACCUGCCCAUAAGACUGGGAUAACUCCGGGAAACCGGGGCUAAUACCGGAUAACAUUUUGAACCGCAUGGUUCGAAAUUGAAAGGCGGCUUCGGCUGUCACUUAUGGAUGGACCCGCGUCGCAUUAGCUAGUUGGUGAGGUAACGGCUCACCAAGGCAACGAUGCGUAGCCGACCUGAGAGGGUGAUCGGCCACACUGGGACUGAGACACGGCCCAGACUCCUACGGGAGGCAGCAGUAGGGAAUCUUCCGCAAUGGACGAAAGUCUGACGGAGCAACGCCGCGUGAGUGAUGAAGGCUUUCGGGUCGUAAAACUCUGUUGUUAGGGAAGAACAAGUGCUAGUUGAAUAAGCUGGCACCUUGACGGUACCUAACCAGAAAGCCACGGCUAACUACGUGCCAGCAGCCGCGGUAAUACGUAGGUGGCAAGCGUUAUCCGGAAUUAUUGGGCGUAAAGCGCGCGCAGGUGGUUUCUUAAGUCUGAUGUGAAAGCCCACGGCUCAACCGUGGAGGGUCAUUGGAAACUGGGAGACUUGAGUGCAGAAGAGGAAAGUGGAAUUCCAUGUGUAGCGGUGAAAUGCGUAGAGAUAUGGAGGAACACCAGUGGCGAAGGCGACUUUCUGGUCUGUAACUGACACUGAGGCGCGAAAGCGUG